CGGUAAGAGCGGCGGACGGGUGAGUAACGCGUGGGUAACCUACCCUGUACACACGGAUAACAUACCGAAAGGUAUGCUAAUACGGGAUAAUAUAUUUGAGAGGCAUCUCUUGAAUAUCAAAGGUGAGCCAGUACAGGAUGGACCCGCGUCUGAUUAGCUAGUUGGUAAGGUAACGGCUUACCAAGGCGACGAUCAGUAGCCGACCUGAGUGGGUGAUCGGCCACAUUGGAACUGAGACACGGUCCAAACUCCUACGGGAGGCAGCAGUGGGGAAUAUUGCACAAUGGGCGAAAGCCUGAUGCAGCAACGCCGCGUGAGUGAUGAAGGCCUUCGGGUCGUAAAACUCUGUCCUCAAGGAAGAUAAUGACGGUACUUGAGGAGGAAGCCCCGGCUAACUACGUGCCAGCAGCCGCGGUAAUACGUAGGGGGCUAGCGUUAUCCGGAUUUACUGGGCGUAAAGGGUGCGUAGGCGGUCUUUCAAGUCAGGAGUGAAAGGCUACGGCUCAACCGUAGUAAGCUCUUGAAACUGGG
rnacentral:rRNA from 1 species